GUUGCUGGCAGACUGGACUUCCAAGGGAUUCGCUUGGGAGCCGAAGCCGGACCCGGAGGCCAAGGCGAGCAGAGGUGGAGGCGCCGAGGCCCGAAUAGGAGUAGCUGCCGAGGCCGGAGCCUGUUUCUGACCACCGACAGGGGCGGACAGGCGGUUCACCAUGGGUGGGUUUUUCUCAAGUAUUUUUUCCAGUCUGUUUGGAACUCGGGAAAUGAGGAUUUUAAUUUUGGGAUUAGAUGGAGCAGGAAAAACUACAAUUUUAUACAGAUUACAGGUUGGAGAAGUCGUUACUACUAUUCCUACUAUUGGAUUCAAUGUUGAGAUGGUAACAUACAAGAAUCUUAAGUUCCAAGUUUGGGAUUUAGGAGGACAGACAAGUAUCAGGCCAUACUGGAGAUGUUAUUAUUCAAACACAGAUGCAGUCAUUUAUGUGGUAGACAGUUGUGACCGAGAUCGAAUUGGCAUUUCCAAAUCAGAGUUAGUUGCUGUGUUGGAGGAAGAAGAGCUGAGAAAAGCUAUUUUAGUGGUGUUUGCAAAUAAGCAGGACAUGGAACAGGCCAUGACUCCCUCAGAGAUGGCAAAUUCACUUGGGUUACCCGCACUGAAGGACCGAAAAUGGCAAAUAUUCAAAACUUCAGCAACCAAAGGCACUAGCCUUAAUGAGGCAAUGGAAUGGUUAGUUGAAACAUUAAAGAGCAGACAGUAGUUCAGUCACUUCUACCCCUGUGAAAUGAAGACUACAUCCUAUAUCCCUUUGGAAAGAAACAGUUAAGUGUGCUUCAUGCUACUAAAUGUUAAAACUGUGUGAUUGUUGGCAUAUACUGAACUGAAUGCAAUAUUUGUAAUAAAUAUAAAAUAUAAGUAUUUGGUUGGAAGGGUAACUCACCCAUGAUUGAACCAACUGAAUAUUCUGUGUAAUGUAAAAUCCUCCCUUGCUUUCUUGUGUUAAGUAUAUAUUCUAUUUGUAUGGAAUUCUUAUUCAAAUAGAGUCCUAUUAAAGAAUGUACUCUUACUGAGGAAAAACCCUCCUAUUUUUGAAUUAGUAGUUGCAGCUUGUUUGUAUAAACACUAAUAAAUAUCUUAAAAAA